rnacentral:rRNA from 1 species
UACAGAGGUCUCAAGCGUUGUUCGGAUUCAUUGGGCGUAAAGGGUGCGUAGGCGGCGCGGUAAGUCGGGUGUGAAAUCUCGGAGCUUAACUCCGAGACUGCAUUCGAUACUGCCGUGCUUGAGGACUGGAGAGGAGACUGGAAUUUACGGUGUAGCGGUGAAAUGCGUAGAUAUCGUAAGGAAGACCAGUGGCGAAGGCGGGUCUCUGGACAGUUCCUGACACUGAGGCACGAAGGCCAGGGGAGCAAACGGG